CUGAAGCUGGGAGGAGGCAGGAGGACAGAGGAAGAGGGCCAGGAGGAACCCAAGAAAAGCGGAGCGGCAACAACUCUCGUUUCCUUUGAAUCCAGCCGCGGUGGCUGGUACCCAAGCCGAGGUGUGGAGGGUCCAGGACCGAAAGGAAGCAGGAAUUGGUGGCGUGUACUGCCUGCCCAAGGAGCCUCGCUGGACUGGGGUUUCUGGGGCCUCUGGGACAGAAAGAGGAAUGACGGUGGGAAGGGAAGACCCUCAGAAGAGGAAGCUGUGCCUUGGUCGGCUCUGGGAGAGAGGCUCCUCAAGAAGUCCAGUGGUUUGGCCCUGUUCCUCAUUGGCCAGGUUGAUGAAUCCAGGGCAGCGAGGUUAGCACCACCCGGGUCCCCAACUCUGAAGCAGCUGGGUGCUUGGAAGGCCACACUAUCCCCAAGGAGCAGGCCCAGCCAGGAGAAGGUAAGGGAUGGCGUGGAGCCCUCCAGAGCCUGCAGCGUGAGCACCAUCUGCAGCCCGUUGGACCUGGAGCCUUCAAGGCGGGACUGCGUCACCGGGGAGACUCAAGAGGAAUCGAUACUUCGGCCCCCAGUGACAUGUACACGGUGUAAUGACAGGUAAAAAAACUUUCCUGACCUUCUUCCACUCAGAGAUGAGUCACAGAAAUAGCAAGUGGGAGGUGUGGAGCAUCUCCCAGAUCAGAAGGAAGCUCAG
rnacentral:lncRNA from 1 species